rnacentral:rRNA from 1 species
UAGGGAAUCUUCCGCAAUGGACGCAAGUCUGACGGAGCAACGCCGCGUGAGUGAAGAAGGAUUUCGGUUCGUAAAACUCUGUUGUUAGAGAAGAACAGCGCAUAGAGUAACUGUUAUGCGUGUGACGGUAUCUAACCAGAAAGGGACGGCUAACUACGUGCCAGCAGCCGCGGUAACACGUAGGUCCCGAGCGUUGUCCGGUUUUAUUGGGCGUAAAGCGAGCGCAGGCGGUUAGAUAAGUCUGAAGUUAAAGGCAGUGGCUCAACCAUUGUAGGCUUUGGAAACUGUUUAACUUGAGUGCAGAAGGGGAGAGUGGAAUUCCAUGUGUAGCGGUGAAAUGCGUAGAUAUAUGGAGGAACACCGGUGGCGAAAGCGGCUCUCUGGUCUGUAACUGACGCUGAGGCUCGAAAGCGUGGGGGGCGAACAGG